rnacentral:rRNA from 1 species
GAUGAACGCUGGCGGCAUGCCUAAUACAUGCAAGUCGAGCGAACAGACCAGGUGCUUGCUCCUCUGACGUUAGCGGCGGACGGGUCAGUAACACGUGGAUAAACUACCUAUAAGACUGGGAUAACCUUGGGAAACCGGAUCUACUACCCGAUAAUAUAUUGAACUGCAUGGUUCCAUAGUGCAAGACGCUUUUGCCGUCAGUUAUAGCUGGAUCCGCGCAUCAUUAGUUAGUUGGUAAGGUAACGGCUUACCAAGGCAACGAUGCGUAGCCGACCUGAAAGGGUGGUCGCACAGACUGGAACUGAGACACGGUCGAGACUCCUAGGGGAGGCAACGGUCGGGAAUCUUCCGCAAUGGGCAAAAGCCUGACGGAGCAACGCCGCGUGAGGGGUGAGCCUCUUCGGAUCGGAGAGCGUUGUUAUUAUGGAAGGUCAAAUGUGUAAGUACCUAUGCACAUCUUGACAGUACCUAGUCAAAAAGCUACGGCUAACUCCGUG